AACGAACGCUGGCGGCAGGCUUAACACAUGCAAGUCGAACGCCCCGCAAGGGGAGUGGCAGACGGGUGAGUAACGCGUGGGAAUCUACCUAGUUCUACGGAACAACAGAGGGAAACUUCUGCUAAUACCGUAUACGCCCCAAGGGGGAAAGAUUUAUCGGAAUUAGAUGAGCCCGCGUAAGAUUAGCUAGUUGGUGGGGUAAUGGCCUACCAAGGCGACGAUCUUUAGCUGGUCUGAGAGGAUGAUCAGCCACACUGGGACUGAGACACGGCCCAGACUCCUACGGGAGGCAGCAGUGGGGAAUAUUGGACAAUGGGCGCAAGCCUGAUCCAGCCAUGCCGCGUGAGUGAUGAAGGCCCUAGGGUUGUAAAGCUCUUUCAGUGGGGACGAUAGUGACGGUACCCACAGAAGAAGCCCCGGCUAACUUCGUGCCAGCCGCCGCAGUAAUAC
rnacentral:rRNA from 1 species